CCUUUGUGAGCACUAGGCCUUGGCCUGGGGCCAUUUGCGUCACAAAGGGAUGGGGGGAAGAGGCAGGUGAGCCUGGGGCUUCUAGUGGAGAGUGCCGGGGGAAAAAUCACUUCUCUCAUGAUGCUAGGUGCUAGGUGCAGAAGCAGCUGUAAUAGAGAAGUUUCCCUCUGCCACGGAGACUAUAGCAAUAAGAUUUAGGAGUGGAGUGUGUAUUCCAUGGACAUUUGUGCCUAUGGUUCAGAAAUAUCCAUUUUCUCCUGCACUCUUGACUUGCAAUCUCAAAGCUAACUGCUUUGAGUUUGAGAUCCACUAUCAUCUCUGCCUUCUGACAUUUCAACAUCUUUUGCAUGCACUACACUUAACCAGAACAGGAAGCAGACCCCUUCCAGAGGAAAACUGCUGACCGCAAGAACAUAGACCCUAGACUAGUUGAAACCAGAAGGUUGAUAAUGCUUGAAACUUCACCUUGAUGACACCCAAUCCCUGAAUUGUCCCUGAGCUGAUCACACCCUGCUCCUUGAACAUAGUAAAACUCCUCACUAGCAUCUCCAGGGUGGGCCACAUUAGCCCACCAUGGCCCCCUUUGCCUGCAAAGCAAUUAAAAGUUAGUCUUUUUCACUUUACCCCAAACUCUGUCUCCCCCUUUAUACUUGGCAUGGUUGAACAGAGGCCAAGUU